GCCAAUCAGGACCGAUGCUCACAGUGACAACACUCACGCUGAGGAUAUUGUGGGUUAGAAGAGGAGCAUGGGUAAAAUAGAGGAGAGCAGGAGAAGUAAGAGAUGAGAUGAGAGGAGAGGGGAGAGGAGGAGGAGGAGGAGGAAGAGGAGAGGAGGAGGAGGAGGAGGAGGAGAGGAAUGAGAGGAGUACAAGGAAGCGGAAAACGGACGCACGUCACGAGCUGAUGGUGACAAACCGGUGCAAUCUCACAUUAACACCUCAACAAUCAAAGAUCUUUGAGUUGAUCAAAUUAUUGUGCACUCUAGCCUACAGUUUGUUUAGAGGAUUUACAGUUUGUUUAGAGGUUUACAGUUUGUUUAGAGGAUUACAGUUUGUUUAGAGGAUUUACAGUUUGUUUAGAGGAUAACAGUUUUAGAGGAUUUACAGUUUGUUUAGAGGAUUACAGUUUGUUUAGAGGAUUACAGUUUGUUUAGAGGAUUUACAGUUUGUUUAGAGGUUUACAGUUUGUUUACAGUUUGUUUAGAGGAUUACAGUUUGUUUAGAGGUUUACAGUUUGUUUAGAGGUUUACAGUUUGUUUACAGUUUGUUUAGAGGUUUACAGUUUGUUUACAGUUUGUUUAGAGGAUUUACAGUUUGUUUAGAGGAUUUACAGUUUGUUUAGAGGUUUACAGUCUGUUUAGAGGAUUUACAGUUUGUUUACAGUUUGUUUAGAGGUUUACAGUCUGUUUAGAGGGUUUACAGUUUGUUUAGAGGGUUACAGUUUGUUUAGAGGUUUACAGUUUGACAGCGCCACUUUUUCUACAGACAAACAUUAGUCACAGGAUUGCAAAGGGAAGGUCAGAUGCAGAUAAGGG
rnacentral:lncRNA from 1 species